ACAGAGGAUGCAGACGAAGGGAAGAAGGCCAGGGAGGAGCAGCAGUUGCCAGCUGCUCGCAAUGUUAAUCUUGUGAUUGUCUUUUCGUGCUCCACAGGCUGAGGGGCAAAUAUAAUCUUGAGGAUCAUGAAAUACUCAAGGAAGAGUAGUCAAGGAAAUCGUUUAUGCGGAGACAAAAGCAUUCAUCGUCUCCGGCGCAGAAUCAGCUGUCUUCUCGCAGGACACGGCACAGGGCAAGGCGAGGCCGAAAGGGUGCCGGAAACUCCGGGAGGAUGGCAGCCCCGCAGCGACCCCCCCGCGCCCCUACGCAGCUCACAAGGCACACGGUGAAUGGCUUCCGGUACCAGGUGGCUAUGAUCACCAAGGGUCGCGAGGUAUUUGUGCAGGUGGUUGAGUGGCUGUACCAAGGGGGGCCGUGUGUUAAGACUCAUUUCCUUAGUUUGGGAAACUCGAGAGCAGACUACAAGCGGAAGUUUAACAGCGAACAGAGACAUUUGCUAGAGAACGGUGCCCUGUUCAAGCAGUACGACAUCUCGCUUCUCUAUAUCAUUCUCCAACUCAUGUGUGGACUGGCUGUUUCCAAUGACCCUGCCUGGACCUCCCCCCCGGCAGGUCAGCCUCUAGAGCACCUCCUGUAUAAGGUUAAGCAGAAGAGGAACAACAUAGCACACACGAAUGACGUCCAGCAGAUGUCGGACCAAAGGCUGACGAAGGAAUUGAGGAAGCUCGGCUGCUUAUUCUCCAGGAUCCUUCGAUUGGCCGGGAGCCGACGCGGGAUCCGACCCCACGUCUUUCGGGACGAGAUCUGGGGAAUCAAGCAGGAUUUUCGGGACCUUCUGCAGAAAGUCAGAGAGCCCCUCCAAGCUACAGACCUGAAUCAACUGCCGCAAUUACAGCAAGAGAUUAGAACAUUUCAGGAUAUACUUCGGCAGAAUAUAGAGCAGGAGAGUCGACAAGAGUUAUUUGAUUUCUACCCUCACCUGUGGGACGUGACUCUCGCUCAGUGGCUGUAUCCGGAUCUGAAAAUCCAACCUAGCCUAAAUUUCACCAACCUGGUAAUCGUGGAAGACACGUCAACUCUGUCGCCAUCUCAGGAGCAAGAGCAUCAGCCCUGCAACAUUUCCCACAAGAAUCUGCUACAGGUUAAGCAGCGGAAUGGUCGCCUGCCUGAAGUGAUCAUAAUAUCAGGCGAAGGGGGAAUAGGGAAGACCACGCUGCUGAAGCACAUGCUGGAGAUGUGGGUGAAAGAUCCUUCGCAAAUUGAGGGACUUCAAGACGUUUCUCCCCUGCUUUACCUACAGCUGCGGGGCUGCACAAUCAGCAGUUGGAACGACCUGUUGAAGCAUCUCCUUCAUAACACAUUUCAGGGAUCUGGACUUACCACUGACAUCUUUGCAGAUUUAUUCCAGACAAUGCAAGUUGUUAUCCUGUUAGAUGGUUAUGAUGAGGUGAGCAAGAAGGCUAAGAAAUUGAUAACGGAUCUUCUAAAUAAUCUAAACGUGCGCAUUGUGAUAACCACGAGACCAGGCUGCGCGAAAGAGCUAACUCAAAUCAUGAAGAGCAAGGCGAAUGUUAUGAAUGUCGAAAUCAAAGGAAUACGCAAAGAAGACCGUCCUUACUUUAUUGAAAACACUCUGGGCGCAUUUGUCCCGUGUCUCAUCCUUAGAACCAACUUGAAGGACAGAAUAGUGAGAAUUCUUGAAAACAUGGACUUUGAGAAGGAGGGGCUUGAUGUCCCACUCACUCUGAUCCUACUGAUCGUCCGUGAGGUCGUGGCACCAGACCAGAGUUCACAGGACGUCUUUGAAGAUUUGACAAGGCUCAUGGUAGGCAAGGUUGAAGAGAGAUUGGUAGUGAAAGGCAUCGAUGAUGUUGAUGAUAAAGUCAAAGAGUAUCAUGAAUUUCAAAAGAAAGUGGCUCUUAGAGGUCUCAAGAGACGAGAACACGACUUAUUGAACGAAACAGUACAGGAUUUAAAGGAAAAAUGUUCUGCACUGAACUUACCCUACAAGGAAAUGCUUUCUGGCUUUCUCGUAUCAAAGAAAACACGAGAAGGUCUUUUUGUCAUUUCUGUUUGGUCCUUCCCACACAACCGAUUCCAAGAACACUGGGCUGCUGGUUUUGUAGUUACGCAGCUGUUAAGGAUAUCUCGUUCUCUGCCAGACUUGACAGGAUUGCUGGAUUCGCCCUGUCUACCUAAUUUUGGCAAAAAGAGUUCCUUAGACUAUUUCAAUCGUAUUAAUAACAUACAAUUAGACUUUUCAGAAAAUCCCAUUCUUGAAAUUUAUUCAGAUGAUGCCAAUGAGGCAAGUCAACUAGCAUAUUCGGCGACAUCAAAGACAAAGUCGGAUAUAUUAAUGGACGUCCUGGCUGACAUUACACGCACAUUAUCCUUGUCACAGCAAAACCUUCUGGAUAAAGUCGCCACAGCCAUCGUCAGCCUCGUCUUAUACGGUAACAAUAAUUAUGAAGAGACUGCAAAUAGAAGCCAGAGAUAUUACCAAAUGGUCAUGGCAUCGGGACAGCAUGCAGGUAUAGUGAAGGCAAGUGCUAGGGUACUGAGCGAAGUUGAAAGUCUUGAUACUAAAGAAACCUCUGUGCCCGGUUUGUUACCCAUAUUAGACCACCUCAAGACUCGCUGUGUGCGCGUUUAUACCCUCCGUGACACGCCGAAACUCCCGUCAAGUAAGGUCCUGCUUGCGAUGAGAGAUUUGGCCAGAAAGGACGUCGAGAUCGAGCUAAAAUGUUUAUUGAAGCAAUCUGCAGAGUUUUCUGAGUUGUUCCUUGAGGCGGUCACAUGUCCAGGAAGUCGUUCACGACUGACAAAAUUCGAAGGUUUCUUGGCGGAAAAGGGAAUGCAACUUCUGCCGGAGAGCCUGGAGGAGCUCAUAACCAGGUCAGACGCAGACGGGAUGCGCGCUUUGCAGAAGAGGCUCCCUUACCUGCCGAAACUUCAAAUUCUAGAUUUCGGUGGGCGCUUGACAGCAGCAGAGAUGCCCCUCCUCCCCGCUAUGCUUGAGGAGCUGAGGAUCACGACCGACGGGGAGGGACUGAAGGCGCUGGCGAUGAGGCUCCCGAGUCUGAAAAAGCUGUGGUUUCUCUGUACGAACUGUGCAUGGUGCAUGACUUUAAUAGUUUCGAGGGCCGCCUGACGGAGGCAGAGAUGCCCUUCCUCCCCAGCGCUCUCAAAAUAGCGUGGGUCGAGACGGACGGGCAAGGCCUGGGGGCUCUGGUGAGGAGGCUUCCGCAGCUGAAGCUCCUCUAUGAUCUAAACAUACGGCUGCUGGAGUGUCCUUCAGCUGCCUCCCUGCCCCCCCUCCCCUACGAGGGCCCCAACCUGACGCUGGAUCUGCAGGACCUCUCGCCCCUGCCGUGCCUUUGGGUGUGCGACGCCGUGUGUGCACUCUGCUCCA
rnacentral:misc_RNA from 1 species